GAUCCUGGCUCAGAAUCAACGCUGGCGGCGUGCCUCAGACAUGCAAGUCGUACGUGAAAGUCCUUCGGGAUGAGUAAAGUGGCGCACGGGUGAGUAACACGUGAGUUAUCUGCCUUUGGGUGGGGAAUACCAACCGGAAACGGUUGUUAAUACCGCAUAACGCUUGCGCUGUAAUGGCGUAUGUUAAAGCGGGGGAUCAGCAAUGACCUCGCGCCUGAAGAGGAGCUCGCGGCAGAUUAGGUAGUUGGUGAGGUAAUGGCUCACCAAGCCUGCGAUCUGUAACCGGCCUGAGAGGGCGGUCGGUCACACUGACACUGACAUACGGGUCAGACUCCUACGGGAGGCAGCAGUCGGGAAUUUUGGGCAAUGGGCGAAAGCCUGACCCAGCAACGCCGCGUGAAGGAUGAAGCAUUUCGGUGUGUAAACUUCGCAAGAAUAGGAAGAAUAAGUUUGAACAAAUAAUUCAAACGAUGACGGUACUAUUUAUAAGCUCCGGCUAACUUCGUGCCAGCAGCCGCGGUAAUACGAGGGGAGCAAGCGUUGUUCGGAUUUACUGGGCGUAAAGGGUGCGUAGGCGGCACCACAAGCCACUUGUGAAAUCUUUGGGCUUAACCCAAAGCGGCCAAGUGAUACUGUGGAGCUAGAGUGCAGAAGGGGCAACUGGAAUUCCCGGUGUAGCGGUGAAAUGCG
rnacentral:rRNA from 1 species